CAUAAGAGAGAAAUCUCUGAUCUAUCUUGUCUUCCUUUUCUUUAAUGGAUCCUAUUUUCUAGCAAUGAUUAAUGGUUUAUUGGAUCCUUUUACCGACAACUGGCCAUUUAUAGACAGGAGAAGGGAUUUUUAGAGAGAGAAACAAAGAGAUGGGGUGUUGCUUACUCUUGCCGGUGACUUUCCGGUGGCAGCAAACCUGUGUGGCCCUCUGUCUCUCUAUUUUUUUUUUGUUUGCCUUUCUUUGGUGAAAAGUUGUACUCAUGGUUGCAUAUCAUAUGAACUACAAAAAAUGUUGUUCUUGGAUGUAAACCCUAGGUGGUAGCCUCUGUGUGGCCGUCGAUUUAUGUUGGUUUGAUGAUGAUGGUUUGUUCGGCUUGAUUUUUUGGGUUUUUUUUGGUGUUAUGAUUUUUAAUUAUUCUUGUCUUUAACGAUGUAAAAUCCGUUCGACGAUGGUGGAUGUGUUUGCGCCCUAAUCGUCUUGGUUGUUUCGUUGUUUUCGUGUUGAAUAACUGUUGCUAAGCCAAUGAUGAUGGUGCUGGUUCGACUGAAGUCUUUUUUGGUUCAUAAGUCGAUGAUGAUGGAAAAUCAUCUGAGAUAAACAAAGGCGUGGUGAUGAUUAUGGGGAAUCCUCAUCUGAACCCUAAUUAUUCUGAAACGUUUCUCUUCUCAUUUUUACUU
rnacentral:lncRNA from 1 species